rnacentral:rRNA from 1 species
GACGAACGCUGGCGGCGUGCCUAAUACAUGCAAGUUGAGCGAUGGAGCUUGGUGCUUGCACCAAUUUGAAGAGCAGCGAACGGGUGAGUAACGCGUGGGGAAUCUGCCUUUGAGCGGGGGACAACAUUUGGAAACGAAUGCUAAUACCGCAUAACAACUUUAAACAUAAGUUUUAAGUUUGAAAGAUGCAAUUGCAUCACUCAAAGAUGAUCCCGCGUUGUAUUAGCUAGUUGGUGAGGUAAAGGCUCACCAAGGCGAUGAUACAUAGCCGACCUGAGAGGGUGAUCGGCCACAUUGGGACUGAGACACGGCCCAAACUCCUACGGGAGGCAGCAGUAGGGAAUCUUCGGCAAUGGGCGAAAGUCUGACCGAGCAACGCCGCGUGAGGGAAGAAGGUUUUCGGAUCGUAAAACUCUGUUGGUAGAGAAGAACGUUGGUGAGAGUGGAAAGCUCAUCAAGUGACGGUAACUACCCAGAAAGGGACGGCUAACUACGUG